GGGCAGGCGGGACUGCUUGGAGCUGGCUGCCGGGGGCGAGGGGACUGUACGGCCCUCCCACGUCUCCCCCUGGAUCCGAGCGUGUUAGUGCCUCGUUGAGCUCGCGUGGCUGUAAUUUGGUGCGGGACCCGGUUUGUGGAGCAGUCUAGCUUCCAAUGCAAGACUGAGGCCCCGCGCACCUCGGGCUUCGCAUCAGCUAGGGGCCCGGCUGCAGAAAAAAAAUCGUCAGGGGUAAGUGGGAGGUGGAACCCCAGAAUGAAGGUCCCCAGCGAAACGUCGGUACUUGUGCCUGGGGCGUGCCGCUAAGCCUGGAAAGACCUUUAGAACAGUUCCGGAGAAAAGACGAAGGGUGGCCUUAAGGGUCGCCAGCUGCGGUGUCAGAACUGCAGCGUACUCAGAGCUGUGAACCCCGACAUUCUACUCUUCCUCCAGUUUUCUCUGUGCGCAUACCUAUGGGAGUCAAGGACAGGGAUUGUUCUGGAGGCUGAGUUCUGACCUGUCUUCAAAAAAAAAAAGCCGGGUGUCUCAUGCACGCCUUUUCCCCUGGCCUUGCCAUUCUCCAAGGAAGGCUUGUGAGGAGUAAAGAAGAAUCCUUGCUGCACAUCUGAAAAUUAAAUUCAAGGGUUCUCAGAACUUUGCACCUUAAGGAAGACUGACCAGUUCUUGUGAUCCUAAAACCAUGGCCCAUUACCCUGUGUUGCCAUGGCGCUCUGUAGAGAGUCUCACCAAGAUGAAAGCCCUCACCAGAUGCAUCACCUGGACUUUGCACUACCCAACCU